GGGCUUCAAAUUGAAAACUGUAUAAUAUUAUCACUUCAUUCCAAAUAAAGAAAAACUAAUUGCUUUUUUACACACAUCUCUCUACUUUAUGUGGCUCUCGCUGUUGUUCAAGAAAAGAUUUGAUUUCUGCGGUUCUUGUUUGCAGAACACCUUUCGCCUUGUAUCACUACUUUUUUUUUUUUUUAAUUACAACAAGUUGUUGUUGUUUCAGUUUGAUCUGUGCGGUUAGAAUUGGAGGGGUAAAGUGCUGCGUUUGGUGUAAAAUGGUUUGUGAUCGGAUAUGGGAUUAGGGGUAGUUGUUUGUAGGAAUUUGUUAUGGAGAACUCAUCUGAUUCUAACUGGCAAAGGUGGUCCGGAAGCUCAACUGUUUCAAGUCGAAACCCUAGAAGAAUUCCUGUUAGAUUGUCUGGUGAUGGUUCUAGAAUUGUAGCGGGUAGAAGAGAAAAAACUCAGGCUAAUCGGUUAGGAACUCAGUUUAAAGAAGAUGUUAUUAGGCCGGUGGAAUCCAAAGAUGUUAGCUUGAGACAGUGGUUAGAUAACACCCACCGAGUUGUUGAUGCCCUUGAUUGCUUGCAUAUUUUUAUGCAAAUUGUAGAAAUUGUGAAUCUAGCUCAUUCACAAGGGUUCGUUGUGCAAAAUGUUUGCCCCUCGUGUUUUGUCAUGUCUUCCUUUAAUCGUGUGUCGUUUAUCGAAUCGGUAACUUCAUCAGAUUCAGGAUCGGAUGAAUCCAACAACCAGACGGAUGAGUUUGUAGGUUUGUGUUCGCCAAAUCCCUUGGGGGUGCAAUCGGGUUUCCAGAACAAUCAACAAGUAUUGCAAAUGGAAUCCGGUUGGUACACUAGCCCGGAAGAAGCUGCUGGCGCUGCAAGUUCUUGUGCCUCUGAUGUUUAUCGGUUAGGGGUUCUUCUUUUCGAGUUAUAUUGCACAAGUAGUUCAGUAGAAGAAAAGAAUGCAACCAUGUGUAGCCUUAGACACCGCGUCUUUCCACCUCACUUCUUAUUAAAGUGGUCUAAAGAAGCCUUGUUUUGCUUGUGGUUACUACAUCCCGAGCCUGCUAGCAGGCCGAAAAUUGAUGAAGUGCUGAAAAGCGAAUUCCUUAAUGAACCGAGAGAUGACUUAAUCGAACGUGAAGCGUUUAUAGAGCUUAAAGAAAAGAUCGAGGAGCAAGAGCUAUUGCUGGAGUUUCUUCUAACGCUGCAACAACGAAAACAGGAGGCUGCAGACAGCUUGCGGAGGACCGUUGCUUUUGUAUCUUCCGAUUUGCAAGAAGUUGCAAAGUUACAUACGUCUAUCAGCAAACAACAAGGUCUAGAUUCGAGUAACGACGGUUCUCCGAGCUCGGGAUCCCGAAAACGAAUCAAAACUGUCGAUACGUCAAAUAGUAUCGAACCGGAGCAUCAAGAAAACGCCAUCGUUAAAAGUUCCCGGUUGAUGAAAAACUUCAAGAAACUUGAAUCAGCCUACUUUUCGACCAGGCGCAGAGCUUUGAAACCGUUAGUCAAACCGUUGACUUUAAAUGCACGUACGAGUAGUGACGGUAAAGGAUCAACUGUCGACAGAAGUUCUGCUAAUAGUUUCCCACCGAUUAACCGGCUUUCGCAAAACAAACAAAGCGGAUGGAUUAACUCGUUUAUCGACGGUUUAUCGAAGUAUCUGUCGUUUAGGAAUUUAAAAGUCAAAGCUGACUUAAAACAAGGUGAUCUGUUGAAUUCUUCGAGUCUUGUAUGCUCUUUGGGUUUUGAUCGCGAUGGUGAAUUCUUCGCAACUGCGGGUGUAAAUAAAAAAAUCAAAGUUUUUGAAUACGAGUCGAUAUUAAACGAUAAUCGCGACAUACAUUACCCUGUCGUUGAAAUGUCGAGUAGAUCUAAAUUAAGCAGUAUAUGUUGGAAUAAUUACAUCAAAGGCCAAAUUGCAUCAAGCAAUUUUGAAGGUGUAGUACAGAUAUGGGAUGUGACACGGAAUCAAGUAUAUAUGGAGCUGAAAGAGCACGAGAGAAGAGUCUGGUCAGUUGACUUUUCAUGGUCGAACCCGACACUGGUGGCUAGCGGGAGCGAUGACGGUUCUGUUAAGCUCUGGAAUAUCAAUCAGGCAAUUUUAUUCUUGCACUUGGUGGAUGUCAGCUUUGAAAACUAAACGGAACAAGUGUUGGUACCAUUAAAACAAAAGCAAAUGUAUGUUGUGUUCAGUUCCCUUCCGAUACGGGAAACACUUUAGCGUUCGGGUCAGCUGAUCAUAGAGUUUAUUAUUAUGAUCUUCGUAACCCCGGUGUGCCGCUUUAUACGCUCAUCGGGCAUAAUAAAACCGUUAGUUAUGUUAAGUUUCUUGAUUCGUCGACUCUUGUAUCGUCAUCAACUGAUAACACGCUCAAACUAUGGGAUUUGUCUGAGUCGACAUCGCAAGUUAUUGACUGUCCCGUUCAGUCGUUCACGGGCCACAUGAAUGUAAAGAAUUUUGUUGGUUUAUCUGUAUCUGAUGGUUACAUUGCUACUGGUUCAGAAACAAAUGAGGUGGUUGUAUAUCAUAAAGCGUUCCCUAUGCCUGCAUUAUCAUACAAAUUCAACACCACAGAUCCAAUAUCAGGAGAUGAAGUGGACGAUUCAGAUCAGUUCAUCUCAUCUGUGUGUUGGCGUGUUCAGUCCUCCACUUUGGUUGCUGCAAAUUCAAUGGGAAACAUCAAGCUUCUGGACAUGGUUUAAAUGGCGGGUCAAAACGUCUUCUGAGCAAAAUGGGUUAUGUGAUGUAUUGUAGAUAAAUAUGCGCCAUUCUUGUAUAUUUUGCAACUGUUUACCCAUUUGGAAACCAGUUUUGAUUACUUACAUUUAUUUUAAAACGUAAUUAUAAUAAUAUUUACAAAUCUGAAAUCAAA